rnacentral:lncRNA from 1 species
CCAUCUUCAUCGCCCCUCACUAUCCGGCGAAGCUCUUCCACCGUUUGGCCUUCCCCUUUCUUUCUUCCCUUUCCUGGCAACUGUUCUCUCCCACCAUCUCUGUCCUCUUUCCUGGCCACUGUUCUUUCUGGUUCUCCCCAGGUAUGCUUUCAAUCAGUAAAUUAAUUAAAUUUAUUCCUUAUUAGGCUUUAAUUUAUAAGUUCCAAUGUUGUUAGGUUAGGGUUUAAUUUAUGUUUUAUCUUAUUUGUGUUUAUAUUCAGGAAUAAUUUAUUCUUUUUGAAUGUUUAUUCGAGAAUAAUCCUACAUAGGUAUUUGGAUGGUAUCUAUUAUGUCGAUUUUAGUUUGUUCUUGUGGUCUUUACAGUUAUGGAUACAGUAAUUUCUUGAGCCCUAGCUUUUGUAUACUUGAAUUUCUUUUUAGACAUAGUAUGCAUUUCUAAGUGAAUUUAAUCCUAGCUAGCUAGCUAGUCAUGUAAGCCAACCGGUACAUACAAGACUGAGCUGAUAGAUUAUCGGGCUUUAUUUGAUGAUGGUCACAACUUGGUUGGUAAAAUACUCCCUUAGUCAUCAAAGUGGAAUACUACUACUACUUCCUCUGUUUCAAAUUAGAAGAGUAUUUUCUUGUACUGUUGCAUAUCAUUGCUUGGUGUAAUUUUUUGACACAACCAUUGAAGAGAACCUUAUAUUUUACCAUAUUGACAGUGAGAAUGCACUUAGAAUAUUACAUGAUUUGUCUAGCAAACUUGAGGAAAACUAAAAGAAAAUAUAGUAAGUAUCUUGUGACAACUGAAAACCGCACCUUCAAAUCAUGAUAGAAACUCUCGCAUUCGCACAGGCCUUUUAACCGCAUUAGUGAAACCCUGCAUAAAAUGUUAUGAAUGAUCAAAGUUUUUCAUGUUCACAGCUACAUACAUACAUCCUAGAUGUGCCAUAAUCCAUCCUAUGCAAUCUUUAUUUAUUAUUUUGGAUAAGUACAGUACAUAGGCCUGUGAAUUAUGCGUCGAAAUGGCAAGUACUGCUUGAUGCCUAAAAACUAACUAUAUGAUGCAUAUAAUGUUGUUAUUUGCAUCUGUUAUCUUUUGUUUCGCGUACCUCAUUAAAUUUAAAAAGUAAAGGACGUGAGUCUCUCUCCAUUGUCGCUGGAAUUUGUACAACAACAGUGUCUGUACUUUGAGAACCAUUGCUGCUCACCUUUCUAAACCUGGUUUAACGUAAUCAUCAUGAGCUAAAAGCAAUGACUUAUAAAAAAAAUAUUUAAAACAACACUUGACAAAUUGUACUACACAAACAUUAUUCAUCAAGUAAUUAUAGUCAUCGAGAAUAUCUUGAUUCUUGCAUAUUUAAUUAAGAAUUAAUCCUGAUUAUACCUUUUAAAGAAAUUGUAGGACCCUCUAGAAGGCUUCUUUGUAUCUCCAAUAGAUCUUAGCUUCACUUCAUCUGUCGUUUUUUUACAAGAUGCUGAGGUCGAUGAGUAGCUGUCAUUUCACAUUGCCUCCUAGGGGUCGACGGAUUUAUCAUCUUUGGUUUCAAGGCUUAGUUUAAUAGCUUAGCUAUAAAGAUGUUGUGGUAAUUUAUCAAAUAAACAAGUAUAUAGAAUCUGUAACAAAUCCACAAUCUAAUAUAAUUAAAUUGAUAGUAUAUAGGAUAAAAUUUUAAAGGUAAAGGCUUUGAGGAGGCUAUUUUGACAUGAUGUUAAGGCAUGUUAGUUAUAAUACAUUAAUUUAUAUGAAUAAAUCUAUAACAUAUCAACAUAUUGUUUUUGACAUAUAAUACAUUAGUUUAUAAAUCAAUAAAUAGAAAAUUUUAGUGUUAUUUCAUAUUUGAUUGUCAUGGUCCAACAUAUUAUUUUUAACAUAUAAGCAUAAAAAGGCUGAAUAGUGAAUCUUUGACAAUAUCGAACAAAACUUAUCUAAAAAAUAAAUUUUGAACUGCGAAUAUGUAAUAGAUCACAGAAUGACUUGAUACUAGAUAAAGAAUUUAAUUUCAUGGAAUAUUCCCUAAUAGUUUACUCAAAUAUUCCCUAAUUUUUAGAUUUAUUUGGUCAAGUCAAUAAAGCUUCUCAACCCAUUUGAGAAGAUUGUUCCAGUUUGGAACUUUAUCAAACAAGUACAUGGUUGCCUCCGCUCUAUGAUAACUAAAAUGAUAAGACCGUCAUCAUUUAAAUGGAUAAUUUAUAAUCAAAAUGAUAACUAGUGGGUUCAAGAUCAUAUAUUGAAAUGAAUAUUACAGUUACUAAAGAAUUAUUAGAUUGUUUAAAAAUACAAAAAAUGUUAAAAUGCAGAUCUCAUCUUCUUUGGAUACAAGUUUCCUAGCAAUUUAGAUAUAACUAUCUCCAUCAUUUAAUUGAUCAAUAAGGUUCCUACACCUAAAAGGUAUAUACCUUAGUUGAACUCAAACAUUGAAAGUAACUACAGGCCUAGAAUAAAGAGAACUAGCAAAUUUACUUAAAUUAUGAAACCUAGCUAAAUGAUGAAGUAAUUUAACCACUUGUACAUAAGAAAUACCUUUGGUGGGUCAAGAAAUUUUGUCAUUAUACUUUCACAUGUGCAUAUUUUCAUAUAAUUUAGGAAGUUUAGAAAUUCGUUUGAGAUUCACUUAGUAUGAGUGAAUCUCAAAUAGUCCCCGUUUUGGGACUGUUCUUGUAUGUUUCGAUCUCACUUAGGUCGGUGUUAACGACUUGAGCACGUCUUUAUAUUUUUUGAAUUUUCGGUCAGUAUAUAUCUCUUGAUGUUCUUCGGGUGCAUAUUUAGACUACGAUGUGUUAGUUUAUUUCGUGUACUUGAAGACCAUGGGGAGGUGUUGCCAAAAUUUCUAAAAAAUUUAAAGAUGUGUUCAAGUUGUUGGCAUCAGUGAGGCGACACAUCCGGGAUGGGAUAGAAGCCUGACCCGGUAGAGUGGGAGAUGAAGUUACGAAACUCAUAACCUUGCAUAUACAUUAACUUGGAGACUUGAUUAUGUUUGUCUAACUUUCCAUAUAUAUAGUAGACAGUUGUCCAAGAUGUCUUUUGAUCGAAGUUCGAUGGAACGUAGGAUAGCCACUAAUAAGAGUGGGUUUAGAUCUGAGUACCGUAAUGGGGUUGAAAAGUUUCUCAAUUUCGCGUUUGAGUAAGUCAGCGGCGAUAAGAUCAAAUGUCCUUGUAAGAGAUGUGUGAAUGAAGUGUGGAAGGAAAGGAGUGAUGUCAUGUGCAACUUAUUUGCGUAUGGGUUCAACCAGGGCUAUACGACAUGGAUCUAUCAUGGGGAAACCUGGUUGAAUGAACAUGAAUCAAAACUGAAAUACAGAGGUGACGAAACCUUUGACUGUACUAACAUGAUAGUCGAAGCUGCUGGUUCAUACUUCCAGUGGAAUACAGACAGGGAUGACAGUAACAUCUAGCAAGAGCCGGAUGGCGGGGCUAAGGGUUUCUAUGAGUUAUUGCAUGAAGCAACGAUGCCACUGUAUAGCGGGCACGAAAAUCACACCGUCUUAUCUGCCGUAACUAAGUUUUUACACUUCAAGAACGAGCAUAACUGUAGCGAGAGAGGUUUUAAUGAAUUGCUAAACAUUGUGAAGGAGUGCUUACCUGCAGGUAAUAAGUUACCGGAGUCGUAUUAUGAUGUGAAGAAAAUGGUCAAAAGGCUUAAUCUAGGUAUGAGAAGAUUGAUGCACUGCUACAAAACAGUAAAUAUAUAACGCGGAAAAAACGUUGUGGUUUCAAUCAGAAAAACAUCGUGGUUAAGGGUGUCAUCUAUUUGACACCCUUACACAACGUUUUUAAAAUGUUAAGAAGAAAAAAAUGUUGUAGAUUUGUUUUUCAUAAAUUAGUAGAUGCUUGAAAAUGUUGUAGAAGGUAUAAUUCCACAACGUUUUCUGACUAAAAAUGUUGUAGUUUAAUAUAUCAGACAACGUUUAGGCACAUUUACACAACGUUUAUAAUGUGUCAUCUAUUUAGAAGGUGUCAUUUAUUUAUACAAAUAUACAACAUUUUUAAAAUGUUAUAGAUAAAAAAAAGAAAAAAAAGUUGUGAUUCACCUAUAUUACCAAUACACCUGUAAUAUGCUAAUGCCAUGAUAUAUAGUUAAAAGGUCUAAAUUCUCAUUUAAAUUUAAAGCCAAAAUGUAUCAACCAUUCAAAAAAUAUCCCAAUAAUACUAUUCGUUUACAGUUUCAAAUUACUAUAUCCACAAAAUAUAUACCAAACUAUCCAUAUAUACAUCUCAAAUUCACUUUUCAAUAUAAAUUACUACUAUGUUCACCAAGAAAAUGUUCUUCGGGACACCAUCCGUCUCACUUGGAUACGUUACAAUUGGAGCAGAAAUAAAAGCAGGAGCAGGAGCAGGAGCACUUUGAUUUCCUGCAAGGAGGAGGAGCAUGCACAACUCAAAAGAUAAUACAGAGAAUUCUGUUUGGAAUUUGAAAGGCACACAUUGAUCAGCGAUGUCAUCACUGAUCCACGAGGUUGGAAAACAUUACCUAAAUCAUGGUGUAAACUUGUUUCAAGAAACAUUGAGAAGAAUUCAAAUCAGGAAAUGAUAGGCAUCAAUUGUUAUAAAAAUAUGAGAACAAGCAAAGGCAUAUAUGAAUACCAGGCAUGGAAUGUGAAAUGUUAAAAAAACCAAGCACAUCACCUUACUGCAAUGCACAACUAGGACAUUGUCCCCAAAUGGGAUUCGACUGCCAACACCAUCAUUCUAUAAGAGGAUAUGCAUAAGAUAAAUUCCAUGCCCUCAAAUUCACAGAGCAUUGAUGCAAGUAACUGUUCCAAUAUUUACAAUAAAAGAACAGAAAGCUCAUACUUACCUGUCAUUGGUGUAUAAAGAGGAUGGAAUGUCAAAAAGCAAGCAUCCAGAUCUAGUUAAUGUUGAGUGCUGGGAGGAUGAAUUAGCAAAUAAAGCAUCCAGUACUACUACUUCAUCAAAUAAAGGUUCUAGUAAUACCAAUGUUAAUGUUGAGUGCUGGUAGCUAGAAGUUCUGUCCCCACCUAAGCCAGACUCCAGAAAUCUUGUUUGGUUAAGGGAGAAUAAAAUCAGUUGGCUCAAAUAAUCUGAGUUCUCCCACAAGAGAAUCAGAGUGAACUGGGGUAUACCUGGGGAUGCACAGAACAAAGUUUAAAAUUACAUCAAGUAUGCAGCAGAAUUCAUGAUAAUUGUGACAAUAAAAUAAAAUAAGCAACUGAUAGAAUGGUUGCAAGAAACUGCGACUGAUGCAAUUAAUACUAAAGCCAAGCUCCUGGGAUACACCGAGGGCAAGUGAUGUCUUACCAG